ACCCUACUGGAACCAUGUUUUAGGGUACUGGAGAGCAAGCUUGGAGUUCCCCGAGAAGAUACUGUUCUUGACAUAUGAGGAAAUGAAGAAAGACACCGCUGCUCAUGUUAAGAAAUUAGCUGAGUUCAUGGGUUGUUCUUUCACCCUAGAGGAAGAGGAGGAAGGGGAGGUGCAAAAGAUAAUAGGCAUGUGUAGUUUUGAGAAGUUGAGCAACUUGGAGGUGAAUAAAAAUGGGAAGUGCCUUCUAGACAUAUCAAUUCCUAUUCCAAAUAGUAUAUACUUCAGGAAAGGUGAGAUAGGCGACUGGGCAAAUCACUUGACACCUGAAAUGGGAGCACGUCUAGAUGACAUAAUGGAGCGGAAGCUCAAGGGUUCAGGCUUGAAGCUGCCCAGGUGACUGCGCCUGGGUCCCAUUUGCUUCUGAUUAUUGCCGAAGUGGGUUCAUCAAAAGCUGUUAUCAACAUCUCGUGAAACAGCAACUGUGUAUCCCAAUAAAUACCCUCUCUGUUCAUCUCUUGUAUUUCCUAGCAAGUAUUCACAUUUUGUGAAUAAUCCAUGUGAAUAAGCAAUGUUCUUUUGUGAAUCUGUGUUUGUAACUUUCAUUGAUUUCCUUGCAAGUUUGUAAGAAUUAAAAAUGGGAUUCGUUUUUUAUUUAUUUAUUUAACACAAGUGCAUGCAUUCCAUUAAUCAGUGAUAAAAAAAAAAAAAUUACUCUACUAUAUAAUAUUAGAGUGUUUUCUUCACAGAAAUUGCAGUGUGUUUUCUUCCCACUGCAAUACAUGUUUUAAAAGAACCGAGACAACCAUACAUGAGGGCGGAGCAAAUACCAACCGAGACAACCAUCCAUUAAGAUUGUUGAAUUGAAGAUCAAAUGAACAUAGGCGGCACAUCUGCUGAAAGGAUCUCGAAAUGCCUUGUAAUUGGUUAAAAUAAAGAUCAAGAUCUGUAGGAGAACUCGUGUUUUCCACUCCUAAAAUAAGCCCAGUUGCCGGCUUCAUGUGCAACAGAGGCACAUAGAGAAUCUGAAAGCAGUUUUUAUGCACUAUCAGCAGAAUAAUUUGAUCAGUCAGAAUGAUCCCCCCCCCACUAGGCUCAGAUCACAAUUCUUCUUACUUCAAACAAAUCUUUUGGAACCGAUAUGUGGAGGGAUGGCUUGAUUUAUACCGGAGAUUUUGUUGGAAAAUUAAAGAAGCAUGGCUUAAUUUGUACCUUGGAUGCGCAAAUUGAUUACAGGGAAAAAAAUGACAGAAAGUGAGUUGCAGGGAAUGAAAAAGGCAUUAGUAAACUCAACAGCUUGCAGGGCAUCGUUCCUUGGUUUACUCCGUUUUAUUUCUUAUUUUGUUUUUCCUGCCAUUGUCUUAUGUUUGUCUAACUCGCAGUCUGGUCUCUGCAGAGAAUGAGAAAGCACAGACUCUUUAAGAGAAGAUAUUCUCCGGCAAUGGCAUCAAACAGAAAAGUCCGACGUUAACUAAAUGAGUUCAUGGGUCUCUUGUCUGAAUAUAGAAGUGCAGAAACUAAGCUUGACCAAAAACCCCCAUGCUACCAACUACAACUCAACAAGCAACAAAUCAAAUGAAUUGUGAUCCGCCAGUAAACAGCGAAUGGACACUGCCCCAGCAAUAGAUCAUACAAGCUCUGACCAACCGGUCAAAGAUCACGAGGACCCUACCCACUGCCCACUGACUGACAAUUCAUCAAAUAGAUUUAUUGCCGUUCACCACCUUAUUUAGAUGUAUUUUUAAAUAAUAUCCGUGAACUCAAAAAAAAAUCACUCAAAUAUCUCCCUAGAAAACUGACCUUGAACUCUUAACUAGGAGAAAAACAAAGAGGAAAAAUAGAGCUUAUAACAUAGGAAACUACGCUGAAAACUGAGGUGAAAAAAAGUGUAAGAAAUUCUGUAAAAAUGUCCAGAAACACUUUUUAUCACUUUUUACAGAGGAUUUUGAAACCUAAACCAAUGUAGAUUUACUUUUAGUAAUUAUUAAAAAUUAAUUUUUAUCAUUAUCAAUCUUAAUUAUCCGUUAUAAAUUAAAAUUAACCUUAACCCUUUUAGCUUUAAAUAUAAUGCUUUGUUAGAAUUAUAAAAACCAUUCAAAUUGAAAAAAAUUGCUUAGGCUGAAAAAAGUGUUCAGACUCUAUAUUCAUUGACAGUACAAACUGAUGGAUUAGAAAGAAAAAAAAUAUAUAGGCCAAAAAAUUAUAAAUCCAAACCCAAGUUUAAAAUAUAUUGAUAAAAAUUAAUUAUUUAUAGUUUACAAUAAAAUCAGACUUGGGACAAGCAAGCCAAUUAAGCAUGGGACUUCAACUCAAAGUUUACUUUACUUAGGUUUUUUUUUUUAAUCUGAGUGUAUUUUAAUCCAAUUUUAAUUCUUUAUAUUUUUAAUAUAUAAUUAACAAUAAAAAUGUUGUUUUUUUUACGUGAAAUAAAGGUUUUGAAUUUCACAAAGAUAUAUUCAUCAACAAAAUUAAAUUUUUAUUUAUUUAUAAUUUAUUUUAAUUAUUUUAAUAUUUUAUGUUAAAGAGAUUUGGUUGGAGAAUAAGUUUCAAUAAAAUUUAAAUCCGAAAAAUAAGUAGAUUUUAUUUUUAAUUUUAUUUCAAAUAUAUUUAUUUUUUAUGUUUUAAAACAAAUUUUAUCUCAUCUAUGUAUGUAUAAAUAUAUAAUCACAAUUCUCAAUACAGCACUUAUAGUUAGUUAUCGAACGAAAGAAUGUUAUCUCUUUCAGUAUGCCACAGAUAUUCAAAACACGGCGGUCACCCUUAUUAGCUUGCAGUCGUCUAUCGAAGUAUUAUCGCCAAAUCCACAGAAGCAAGGCAAACCACAGUUUUCUCUAGUUAUAGGACUAGACGGUACUGCGCUAGACUGCAGGUUUACAAUAUUUUUUCGAUAAAAUAUUUAAAUCAUGAGAAAAUCAUGCAUGAUUAAAAGAGUAAAAUUCAAAUUAAAAAUAUCAAUACAUGACAAAAUAAAAUUAAAAAAAAUUAAAUAAAAUUUUUAUAAAAAAACUAGAAUAAAAGAGAGGACUGAAACCGAAAAAGUUUAAACAAAAAGGACAUACCUGCAAUUUGAGGGGGGGAGGGAGGAGGAGAAAAAAAAAGGUUCAUCAACAACGAACUGCUCGACCUUCACCUACAUGUAUCGCACCAUGAGAAAGAGGAAGCAGUGAUGCUUCCAACAACACAAUAAAAUGUUUAUUUUUACAACUAGAGGUAUUGCAUGCUAUACUUGAAGUGCUAGCUUUUUAAAUUUUAAUAUUAUUUAUUUUUUUGUUAAAAGAUUACAAUGCGCAAACUAAAAAGAAAAACAAUAUAAAAAGAUAAAGUAUAACCUUGACCUAAAGCUUUUCUUUUUCUUUUUACUUCAAGGAUAUUUAAGUAAGUUUAGUGUACAUUCAAAAGCAUUUAAUGAAAUACCCUUCGACCAAGGUUUUUUUUUUUUUUAAAGUAUAAGACACUUAACAAAAUAAUAAAUAACAAAAAUUAAAAACUUAAAAAGACAAAAAAUACCCUUCGACCAAGGUUUUUUUUUUUUACUCCAAAGCAUUUAAUGAAUCUCGCCCAUAACGACAGCAAGUCUUUAAAAAGUGGAUUUCCUGAUGAAACCUGGAUAGUAUCAGUGCCAGCUCGAGCUCAGAAUGCGGCAUCUAUUGAUUAACUUACCAGUUACCAACACAAGGAGACACACACAACAACUUUAAAAAGGGCAUUAUAUAGCUAAACAUUGAUUAUUAUUUUUAUUUCAUUUUUAAUAUUAUAUUAAUUUUAAAUAUAUAUAUUUUUAAUUUCUCCAUUCAAUAACAAGUUGAAAUUCAUAAUUUUAUUUAAUUCAUUUCUUAUAAUAAUUUUUUUCCCAUCGUUUAAUUAAAUAAAAUAUUUAUUAUAAAAAAUAAAAUUAUUAAACAUAAUUGAGUAUAUGGCUUGUAUUUUUAGGUUAAAUAUUGUAAUUAGAUGUGGGUAUAAGCAUUUUAAUUUAUAAUUAAAAAGAAAAACUAUAUCCAAAAAAGAAUUUAAAAAACCUGUAUAUUUAUUUUUCAAUUAUCUAACCUGCAGCAGUGAAGUGCAAUUGAAAUAGCUAGUAAUCUAACUAAAAAAUUUAAGAUAAGAUUAAGAAAUGAGAAGUUUAUUUGUCAGCAGACAGUAGCUUCAGUAAAUAGAAAAUAUAGACUGUACUGCUGCUGAUCCCGGGAUCAAUGCCCACCUUCAUGGAUUAUAUAUAUAUAUAUAUAUAUAUAUAUAUUCAAUGUGAGAUAUUAAGUCAUUUAGUACAUACUAGUUAGAUGACUUGUGCGGUGCUGCGAGUUAAUUUUUUUUGCAUAAAAAUAUAUAAAAAAACUAAAAUCUAAAAGUAUUAGGUCUUUUUGCAAAGUUAUACCCAAGAAUCUUGGGUUUGGCUGCAACGCCUGACCCAAGAGUAAUAUUUAUAAUAUUAAUUAUAACAUUAAACUUGCAUGACUCAAGUUUAAAUGAGUCUAGAUGCAAUACCAUACCCAAUAGUCUUGGAUGUGGGUCUGGCUGCAAGGUCGUGUAAUAAAAGUGUGAUAAUUAAAUAGAUUAAUUAAAAAUAAAAAAAACAAAGAAAAAAACAAACAUGAAGAAAAAAACUAAUGAAGAAAAAGAAAAAAAAUUUGAAUUAACUGGGUUAACCCUUCAAACCAGGUUAAUCCGUCAAACCUUGGAUUCGUGUCGUGAAAGUUUGAUAACUAAAUAAAAAAAAAAUGAACAUUAACAAACUAAAUUAAAUGAAAAAAAUAAUUAAAAAAAAAAGCAUCAGCCUUUUCACUGUGGACUGCACUGUGCAGUCCACAGUCAAAUGCAUAAAAACAACAAAAAAGCAAAAAGAAAAACUAAAGGCAUCAAUCGAUAACUAAAUAGAAAAAAAAUUUAAUAUUGAUGAACUAAAUUAAAUAAAAAAAAUUAAAUAAAAAGAAGAAAAAACUUAUAAGAAGAAAAAAACUAAUGAAGAAAAAGAAAAAAAAUCUAAAUUAACUGGGUUAACCCGUCAAACCUGAGAUCCGUGUCAUGAAAGUCUGACAACUAAAUAAAAAAAAUUUAAUAUCAAUAAACUAAAUAAAAAAAUUAAUUUAAAAAAAAGGCAUCAGCCUUUUCACCGUGGAUUGCACUGUGCAGUCCAUAGUGAAAGGCAUGAAAAUAAAAAAAACAAAAAAAAACUAAAGGCAUCAGCCUUUUCACUGUGGACUGCAUAGAAUAUUAAAAGAUGAAAUCGGAAGAACAAAACUAAUGAGGAAAAAGAAAAAAAAAAUCUGAAUCAACUAGGUUAAUCCGUCAAAUCAAGUUAACCCGUCAAACUUGAAAGUGUGAUAACUAAAUAGAAAAAAGAUUUAAUAUUAAUGAAAUAAAUUAAAAAAAGAUUAAUUAAAAAGGAAAAAAGCAAAGAGAAAAAAGACCAACAGGAAGAAAAAAACCUAAUGAAGAAAAAGGAAAAAAAUCUGAAUUAAGUGGGUUAACUGGUCAAACCUGGGAUUCGUGUCAUGAAAAUCUGAUAAUUAAACAGAAAAAAUUUAAUAUUAAGAAACUAAAUUAAAAAAAGACUAAUUAAAAAAAGACAAAAAAAAACUAAAGGCAUCAGCUUUUUCACUCUUAAAAAGGAAAAGAGAGAAAAAUAAAAACAAAAGCAAACGCCACGGGUUAAUUUUUUUUUUCUUGCAUAAAAAAUAUUAAAAAAAACUAAGAUCUAAGAGUAUUAGGUCUUUCUGCAAAGAUAUGCCCAAGAGCCUUUGGUUUAGUUGCAACGCUUGACCCAAGAGUAAUAUUUAUAAUAAUAAUAAUAAUAAUAAACUUACAUGACUCAAGUUUAAGUGAGUCUGGCUGCAAGGUCGUGUCAUAAAAGUGUGAUGAUUAAAUAUAUUAAUUAAAAAGAAAAAAACCAACAUGAAGAAAAAAACUAAUGAAGAAAAAGAAAAAAAUAUGAAUUAACUGGAUUAACCCUUCAAACCAGGUUAACCCGUCAAACCUGAGAUUCAUGUUAUGAAAGUUUGAUAACUAAAUAGAAAACAAAAUUGACGGGUUAACCUGUCAAGCCUGGGAUACGUGUCAUGAAAGUCUGAUAAUUAAAUAGAAAGAAAUUUAACAUUAACAAAAUAAACUAAACGAAAAAAAAUUAAUUUAAAAGAAAAAAAGUAAAAAAAAAAUUCUAGGUUAACUCAUCAAACCAAAUUAACCCAUCAAAUCCGGGAUCCGUGUCAUGAAAGUCUGAUAACUAAAUAAAAAAAAUAACAUUAACAAACUAAAUUAAACAAAAAAAAUUCAUAAAAGAAAAAAAAACACAGAAAAAAAACAAAAAAAACAUAAAGGCAAAAAAAACAAAAACAAAAUUAAGUGAGAAUUACUGAUGUGCUUUGCCAAGCUUUGCAACAGAAAUCUCAAGACAUUUUAAAUGCUAUGCAUUUGCUGACUACCAUAAAGACUUUAAUUCAGAAGUUAAGAGAUGAUGGAUUGGAAACUCUUUUAGAACAAGUGACAUCAUUUUGUAAGCAUAAAAACAUUGAAGUUCCUGAUAUGGAUGCUUGUUUUUCUAGUGUGGGACGAUCUCGCUGUAAAACAAAAUCAAUAACAGUUGAGCAUCACUAUCGAGUUGAUAUAUUUAUAGCUAUCAUUGAUCAAUAGUUGCAAGAGCUAAAUAAUAGAUUCUAUGAGCAGGCGAUCGAGCUUCUUAAGUUGAGCAUAGCUUUAGAUCCUAAAAAUAACUAUAAAUUAUUCAGUGUUGAAGAUAUAUGCUAACUUGUUGACAAGUUCUAUCCUGAAGACUUUUCUGACCAAGAAAAAACUCAUUUGAGAUUUCAGUUGCAGCAUUAUGAGCUUGAUGUACCCAAUCAUCCAAAGUUAAAGAAUAUGUCAUCGAUUGCUGAUUUAUGUCAAGGACUGGUUGAAAUAGAAAAAUCAACAAUUUAUCUACUCAUUGAUAAGUUGAUUCGACUUAUUUUGACUCUUCCUGUUUCGACAGCAACUACUGCACGAGCUUUUUCAGCGAUGAAGAUUGUUAAAACAAGACUUCGCAAUCGGAUGGAGGAUGAUUUUCUUGCAAAUUAUUUGAUUGUCUAUAUAGAAAAAGAAAUUGCUGAAAGAUUCACAAUUGAUAUGAUAAUCGAUGAUUUCUACUCCAUGAAAGAAAGACAAAAACAAUUAAAAUAAAUAUGUAAGAAUCAUUCUUUAUUACUUUUUAUUUUAUUUAAAAGUUUUAUCAAACAUAAAUAAUGUAUCGCUUUAGCUAAUGUUUCUUAUAUAUUUUGUAUGUUUAUAUUUGAUAGGUACAAAAACCAACAAAAUUAAAGUGAUGAAUACAUUAUGAAGAUGAAAUUAACUUCAUAGCUUUGACUUAAUUUGAUAUUUGCUUUAAACAUCUUAUCUUAUACAAAAAUCAUAAUAUGUUUGUAAUUACUUUUUUGAAUAAAACUAAAUCAUGUCGUUUUUGUUUUUGUUUUUAUUUUUAUUUUUAUGUAAAGUAAAUUUUUAAAUAAAUUAUAUCUUUUAUUAUUUUAACCCCCAUUCAAAUAAUCCCAGCCCCUGACCGCAAUAACAAUCAAAAUAAAAUCUAAUUCUACCGGCUGCUAAGAAUACUAAAAUAGUGUAAAUUUUGACUUAAUUCAAUUAUUAGAAUUCGGGGCAGAUAACAGUGUUGAAGAAAAUGUCAGAAAAGUAGGGUAAACAGUACAAAUACCUUGGAUGAUGGUGACUAACGCCGUUUGUUUACGCGGGCGCGGGUGCGGUUGCCUUUUAAUUAAUAAAUAUCGGUAGUUGGAGACUUCUUGUUCUCGAAAAGAAAUAGUUAAUAGUGCCAAUAAUUAAUCUGCUCUCAACUUGCUACAAGCUGUCAUUACUCAUUACCAAAAUAUUAAAGAAACAAAUAUUUCCUAUUAGUAGAAAAGCGAUCUAAUAAAGCGAUUGUUCAGUUGACGUUAUUGAAUUGCUUUUUUAUAAAAAGUUAAUUUUUAAAUAUUUAUAGAUUAUUUUAUAUAUAAAUUUAAAAAAAAUCUUAAAAAAUUUAAAAAUAUAUUUUAAUAUAAUUAAAAAAAACAUUUGAAAAACAAUUAAUAGUAUAGUCUCAGGUCUCAACCACCCAAAAUAUACAUUUGAAAAACAUUUUAUAUACCUUGGAUUAAAUUGUGUUGUAGGUUCCACACCAUUUAAAGCUUGCAAAGAAGGAUUUAAAACACAAUCACGCUAAAGAUUUGCAAUCCAAUAUAAUAUGAAAUAAAACCCCAUUGCAUCACCGGACAUGUGAUCAAUAAUAUUAAAAUACUGUAAAUUUUGAUUUAAUUCAAUUAUUAGAGCUUGAGGCAGCGUGACAAUGUGAAAGAAAAUGUCAGAAAAUCUUGGAUGAUGGUGACCAUAUCAGUAAUUUGAGACAGCAAGUUCUCGAAAGGUAAUAGUUGAUGGUACCAAAAAUUAAACCAGCUCUCAACUCGCUACAAAUAGCUGCCAUGGCCUUUCGUUCUACAUUAUAUUUCUUUUUUUACUUUCAUGGAAUCCUCUUUGCCUUCCACCCCAAUCUUGGAUUCUGGUGAAAGUGCAGAGAGGAAAAAUGAAGCAAAAAAUUACAAUGAAGUAAUGUACACCCUUCCAAAAGUUAAAGGCUUGAGGGGGAAUGAUUAUUACCUGUACCAAGGCUUUUGGUACUCUUCCUUCUUCUUGGAAGGACUCAUGUCUGUUCAAGAGCACUUCAAUCCUCAAUCCACUGAUAUAUUUCUCACCAGUUCUCCAAAAACUGGCACAACUUGGCUUAAGGCCCUCGCUUUUGCUAUUCUUACACGAUCCCGUUUAAGUGGUUCAACAACUAGUUCUUUACUUACCAAGAUGCCACAUGACUGUGUUCCUUUUUUGGAAUAUCACCUUGCUCAAAACCCAAGUAAUCGGGACUUGGCAAUUCCCCUGCUAUCUACUCAUGUUCCUUACAGUUGUUUACCUAAAUCUAUCAUUUCUUCUAGUUGCAAGAUUAUUUACAUUUGCAGGGACGCAAAGGAUGCUUUUGUUUCUUUGUGGUGCUUUUUUCCGCGCAUCAAAUGUCGAAAAAUGUUGAACCUCUUCCUCUGGAAGAGGCCUUUGAGAUGUUUUGCAACGGAAUUUCAGUCUUGGGACCAUAUUGGGACCAUGUUUUAGGGUAUUGGAGAGCAAGAUUUGAGUUCCCUGAGAAGAUAUUGUUCUUGACAUACGAGGAAAUGAAGAUAGACACCGCUGCUCAUGUUAAGAAACUAGCUGAGUUCAUGGGUUGUUCUUUCACCUUCGAGGAAGAGGAGGAAGGGGAGGUGCAAAAGAUAAUAAGCAUGUGUAGUUUUGAGAAGUUGAGCAACUUUGAGGUGAAUAAAAAUGGGAAGCACCGUCCCGUCCGGACACAUCAAUUGCUAUUCAAAAUAGUUUAUACUUUAGGAAAGGUGAGAUAGGCGACUGGGCAAAUCACUUGACACCUGAGAUGGGAGCGCGUCUAGAUGACAUAAUGGAGCGGAAGCUCAAGGGUUCAGGCUUGAAGCUGCCCAGGUGACCGUGCCUGGGGUCCCAUUUGCAUAUGAUUAUUGCCGAAGUGGGUUCAUCAAAAGGUGUUAUCAGGAUGUCGUGAAACAGCAACUGUGUAUCCCAAUAAAUACCCUCUCUGUUCAUAGCAAGUAUUCACAUUUUGUGAAUCUUCCAUGUCAAUAAGCAAUAUUCUUUUGUGAAUCUGUGUUUGUGACUUUCAUUGAUUUCCUUGCAUGUUUGUAAGAAUUCAAAAUGGGAUUCGUUUUUUUUUUUUAUUUAACACAAGUGCAUGCAUUCCAUUCAUCAGUUUGAUAAAAAAUAAAUUUACUCUAAUAUAUAAUAUUAGAGUGUUUUCUUCACAGAAAUUGCAGUGUGUUUUUCUUCACAGCUAUACAUGUUUGAAAAGAACCGAGACAACCAUACAUGAGGGUGGAGCAAAGACCAACCGAGACAACCAUCCAUUAAGAUUGUUGAAUUGCAGAUCAAAUGAACGUAGGCGGCACAUCUACUGAAAGGAUCUCGAAAUGCCUUGUAAUUGGUUAAAAUAAAAGAUCAAGAUCUGUAGGAGAACUCGUGUUUUCCACUCCUAAAAUAAGCCCAGUUGCCGGCUUCAUUUGCAACAGAGACACAUAAAGAAUCUGAAAGCAGUUCUUAUGCACUAUCAGCAAAAUAAUUUGACCAGUCAGAAUGAUUUUUUUCCCCCUUACUAGGCUCAGAUCACAAUCCUUCUUACUUCAAACAAAUCUUUUGGAACCGAUAUGUCGAGGGAUGGCUUGAUUUAUACCGGAGAUUUUGAUGGAAACUUAAAGAAGCGUGGCUUAAUUAUACCUUGGAUGCGCAAAUUGAUUACAGGGAAAAAAUGACAGAAAGUGAGUUGCAGGGAAUGAAAAAGGCAUUUGUAAACUCAACACCUUUCAGGGCAUCGUUCCUUGGUUUACUCCCUUUUAUUUCUUAUUUUGUUUUUCCUGCCAUUGUCUAAGUUUUUCUAACUCGCAGUCUGGUCUCUGCAGAGAAUGAGACAGCAAAAACGCUUUAAGAGAAGAUAUUCUCCGGCAACGGCAUCAAACAGAAAAGUCUGACAUCAACUAAGUGCGUGUUUGACACUCCGGUUAUGUUUACAUAAAAAACAUCGUUGUCAUGUGUUUGGUUACAGUCUAAACAUAAUUUUCUGUUUGUGAGACCCGUUAUCAUUUGCUUUUAAACCGCAAGAUAACCAAAAGCAACUUCAAGCUGCCUUUUGUGUUGAGUUGCAAACUUUAUAAACAAAGGCCACAAGAAAAAGAGCAGAAACAUAGCAGUGAAUAGUAAACAGUGGAGAGUAGCUCCCUCUCACCACCGGCAUCCACCGUUUCCACCGCCAGCCACUGCUCUUCCUCUUCCCCUUCUCCUUCUCCUUUAUCUUCUGCAUUGUCCACUGUUCACGUUGCAUGUGAACAGUGGAGAGCAGCUCACCACCGGCCUCCGCUGUUUCCACCGCCAGCCACUACUCUUCCUCUUUCCCUUCCCCUUCUUCUUCUUCUUCUACAUUUUCCACUGUUCACAUGAACAGUGGAGAGCAUCUCCACUAUUCAUGGCCGGAUUGGGUCUGACCCAAACCUAAAUGCAUUGGACUGGGUCCGACCAAGUAAAAUAAAAAAAUCUAAAAACAUUUCUUAGAUAUUGUGUUUUAUUUGAAAAACUAGUGUUUAAAAUUAUUCAAUGACACUAUAUAAUUAUAUUAGAAGGAGAUCGCAUGAUGACAUAGCAUUUGCAGAAUUUGAUUGCAAUCCCAAUUUUGUUCCUAAUGAUAUUUUACCUGAUGUGAUGAUAUUUUACCUGAUGUUGGUAUACGUUCAAGAAGCCAUGAAAACUGUAGUUCUUGUCGGAUGGAUUUCGUACGUGAUUGAAUUGCAAAUAGUUUAAUAAAACAAUAAAAAAUACUUUAUAUAAAGUAUUGUUUAUUUCAUGAUUUAAUAGCAGUAGUUAAAUCUAUAAUAUUUCAAUUAAAAACCAUCAAUAUUAAUAUAUGUUUUUUUUAAUUAUUUUAUAACCUUAAUUUGAAAAAUAUUCUUUAAACCAAACACAUUAAACUACUUUUUGUUCAACCUCAAUUUCAACCACAAUUUUAACCAAAUAUAUAUUUUUUCAAACCAAUCUCAACUAAAAGUAAUUUUUAUAAAACAACUUUUUCAAACUAUAACCACAACAGCUACCACAAUACCAAAUACACAUAAAAAAAACUGUAAUGAUAAGCAAGUUAAAGUGCCACCAUUGAUUUAGGAUCUGCUUUAGAUCUUAUAAGGUGAAAGUAAAACACAAGGAAAUGCAUGCAUGCACACCACUAAUCUUUGAUUCUGGCGAGAACAGUGAUGACUACACUCAGAACCAUAUAGAAUUACAUUCCAAGAUGAAGAAAUUAAUAACAGAGCAGUGCUAUAAAGCUAAAUGUGAGAACCAAAGAUUAAUAAGCAAUGCUGAAAAUUUUAUCAUGCAUAAGAUGAGAGAAGCACAGGACAGAUUUUAUCAAAUCUAUAGUUUUUCUUCAAUAAUAAUAAUAUUUUUUAAAAAUUUAAUAAUAAUAAAAAAAAAAAACUCAUGUUCCUUGGCUCUUUCUCUUGCCAAACUGAAGCUACCAUAGUCAAAUCCAAGUAACUUAGAUGUCACGCUCUUGCUAAACCCAAGUUAUUUGGGUAUGACAUCUCAUGCUGGACUCAUAGCAUUCCAGAUCAAAGGUGUUGAUAUCUAACAAUAAUACCUCACCCGAGCCCUAAGAUGUGAUUGCUUUUCUAGACCCGAGGGCCAAGGCACCAAGACACUAUUCACUAUAAGUCAAGUCAAUGAAUCAAUCAAUCGAUUUUAAAGAUCAAGUUUUUUUUUUAAUAGAGAAACAAAACUUUUAUUAACAUUGAAAUAACUCUUAAAAUCUUAAUAAAAUUAAUUUGAAGUAAAAAUAAUAUUAAAAGAAAUAUUCAGAAGCACUUUUUGAUUGUAAAAUCAAACACACUAAAAUCAUGUAGAUUUUCAUUUAGACAUUAAAAUUCAAGAAGAAAUUAAGUUCACAGUACUAUUAAUUCAAUCGAUGAAGGAUUAGACCCAACUACUUUAGGGCCACCAUUGACAUUGAUUACUUUGAAUAAUUUUAAUUUAUAGGCAUAAAAAAUUAAUACAUAUCUUUAAGAGGAUCAAUUUUAGAUUAUCUCUCUCUCUCUCUCUCUAUUUUUUUUUUGGUUUUCAAAUAUUUGACAUUUUCGUUUAGAUAAGCUCUAGUGUGUGUUUUUUUAAGAUUAUUUUAAAUCAUGUUUCUUGAAAUGUCAAAAACAUUUCAUGGAUUAAUUUAACUUAAUAACGCCAAAGAAUUAGGAAUUAAAACUGACAAUUUCCACCAUGUAAGAGUACCUAAUUGAAAAUUUACUUUCUUAUCAUUUACCUCAAUUAAGCGGAAGCAUGAUCAUGAGAAGGGAUUUGGAGAAAGAAUUAUAAACAGAGAAUAAGAGAAAAUGUAAUGUGUAUAGAUUUUCUUAAUGAAUUAAUUAUGAUACAACAGAAGCUCAUAUAUAUAUAUAUAUACAUUCUAAACUAAUCAGUUAUGAAAUGUUAUUACAAAUAUAAUUUGAAUUUCAAUUUUAAAAUCAUGAUUAGUGCAGGUUUAUCAAUGCAGCAGAAUAUCCAUCAUAAACAAGAAGUUCACAGUUACAAAGUUUGAAUCUUUGUAACUGUAACUCUCUUUUGAAACUCUCUUCUUGGUCUUCAAUAUCCGUUAGCUAGCUGGAGAUGUAACAGUUACAAAGUUUGAAUCUUUGUAACUGUAACUCUCUUCUUGGUCUUCAAUGUCUGUCAGUUACAAAGUUUGAAUCUUUGUAACUGUAACUCUCUUAUGCUUAACAUUCCCCUGCAAACUGAUGGGGAUAGGAAUCACCAUCAAUUUGGACCGUAAAAACAUAAACCUUGCUGUAGUAUGACCUUUGGUGAAGACAUCUGCAAUCUGGUCAUAUGUUGAAAUAUAUCGUACAAGAAUAUCCUUAUUAAGAACUUUUUCACGGAUGAAGUGAUAAUCCACCUCUAUGUGCUUCGUUCGGGCAUGAAAAACAGGAUUAGAGGCAAGAGAUAUUGCACCUACAUUAUCACACCAUAGUGUAGGAGGUGACGACAAUGAAAUGCCAAGAUCUUGCAAUAACAUUCGAAGCCAAUAUAGUUCAGCAGUGACAAGAGCCAUGGAUCGAUAUUCGGCCUCAGUACUGGAUUUAGACACAACACUUUGUUUCUUUGCACUCCAGGAUAUGAGAUUUUGGCCUAGAAACACAAUAUAACCACUUGUAGAUUUUCUAUCAUCAGGAUUCCCAGCCCAAUCUGCAUCACAGAAAGCAUCUAAUGUUGUUGUCGAUUGAGUGUAGUGAAUACCAUAAUCAAUUGUUCCUUUCAAGUAACGAAGAACUCUUUUGGUAGCAAUCCAGUGUGGUUCUCGUGGAGCAUGCAUGAAUUGGCAUAAUUGGUUCACUGCAUAGCUGAUGUCAGGUCUUGUUAAAGUGCAAUAUUGAAGAGCACCAAUAACUUGAUGAUAUUCAGUUGGAUCAUUCAAUAUCCGUUAGCUAGCUGGAGAUGUAACAGUUACAAAGUUUGAAUCUUUGUAACUGUAACUCUCUUAUGCUUAACAUUUGGGAGGCACUUAGAUUAGGCUCUUCUCUAGUCUUGAGAAGCAAAACCAAUAGAGACGUGAUUGCGCACUCCCUGAGCUAUAUAGUAAGUGGCUGCAAACAAAUUGUCAGCACCAAUUCAGGUCCGGAAAAUUAAAGCAUUGAAGCAUAAAAGGUGACCUAACCUAAUUAAGCAAAUUACUACUUAUUCCAGCAUCACCUAGGAGUGAGACAGCCAGCCCAUCCAGUGUCUACAUGGUAAGGGAAUAAUUCCUUCAAGAAUGCAGAGAAAAUUAUACUUGCAAUACAACUAUAAACGAGAUGGUACAGUGCGGAAGGCAAGAUGUUAAAUCAAUUGAUCUUAUUAUAAUACUGUGAAAUAUGAUCAGGACAAAAAAAUAAAUAAAGAAAGAAAGAGUUGUUUAUUUUACAAUGAUCGAUAUGAUGCUUCUUUGCAUGUGGAAUCUUCGUCAAAGACUUGUUGAAAAUGCCAAAUUGUGAUCCACUUUUGGCUGUGUCAAAUGCAUGGGUGGGGCUUCACACAGAGCUAUUACCCCUUGUGUAAACUCAACGCCAGUUUUCAUGAGUUCUUUGGGAUUCUAACAUAGUAAAAAAAAGAAAGAUAAAAUAACAAAGUGUAAAGAAUAUUUAGUGAAAUAGAUAUUCGUGAUUAAUCAGUAGCAAUUAUUAUAUGCUGGCUCUCUCGGGUUUACUUGACAGAAGAUUUAUUAAAAAGAGUUGAUAAAGGAGAAAGAAAAGAAAAGAAAAUCUUCAAGGUAUAUCAAAACUCUGAUAAUAAUAUUAUUGGUAUUGUUAAAAAAAUCUCGACAAGACAAAUCGAAAAAUAACAAUGAAGGUCAUCAAUGACGAUAAAAAUAAGUCAUACGAGUGGCCCAAGAUAAGUGAGUUUUAAUACUUUUGAACAGCUUGUAUGAUUCAUUUUAUUCACUAUUUAUAAUCUUUUUUGAUGCUGUUAAAUUCAUCUUGUAAUGAUGUUGAUAAUGUUAUCAUUAUAAUUUCAAUGUAUUUUUAUUUUUAUUAUUAUUUUUUGUUUUGCUCUCUCUCCUCUCUCAUUGUAAUUUAUGAAGAGUAAGAGAGGGGGAAAAAAAAAACCCUAGUCUUCCAAUUUAAUCUGGCUGAAUACUACUAUCUCAAUCUUAUUCACUACUUUGUCAAAGCAAAGUAGAUUUUUCCUUAAAUAAGAUCUAAUCCACCGGCGGAUAGGUGAUCAAGAAUAUUAAAUUAGUGUAAAACUUGAUUUAAUUCAACAUUAUAAUUAGAGGUGCUAUAAUAAUGUGAAAAAAAGAAUAAAAAAACUAGAUGAUGGCGACCACAUAUCAAUAAUUCCAGACAUCACGUGGAGCACUUUCAUCAUCAUUAUUAUUAUUGGUAUAAUAAUGUUUGUUGUAUUAUUUUUUAAUUGUUAAGUUGUUUACUAUAUGUUAAAAUUUCAAGAUCUUCAAAGAUUGGGAAGAUCGGAUCUAAAGUUACUAUGGGACUGUCUUUAUUUUCCUAUUUGGAUUUUUUUAUUUAUAUUAAGAAUUUAAAUUUAAUUAGUAUUUUAUUAUUUAAAAAUUUUAAUGGUAAAUUGAUUCUAUUAGUUAGGUAAAUUUUAAAUAUAAAUUAUUUUUCUAUACAAAAUUUUAAAUCUAGAACUAAUAUAAAUAAAAAUAUUUAGUUUAUUUUUGUUCGAGGAUUCAUAUUAUUAUUUAAAUUUUUUUAUAAAUAUUUAGAGAUUUUUUCUAAUUUCCUAUGGUGUUAGGGAUUAUAACCUUAAGGUUUGGUUUGAAAUAAUGAUGACAGUUAUUUCUUAAAGUGUUUUUCACUUGAAAAUACAUUAAAAUAAUAUUUUUUUUAUUUUUUAAAUUUUUUUUUGAUAUCAGCAUAUCAAAACAAUUCAAAAACACCAAAAACUUAAUUUGAAAAAAAAUCAAAAUUUAUAAAAACCCCGGUUAAAAUGUUUUACCAAACACUUCUUAGUUUUUAAUAUUAAUACAUCAAAACAAUCCAAAAAUAUUAAUUUAAAAUUUUUAAAAACUCCGGUUGCGUUUGUAAGAUGUGUUGCGGCUCUCAACUUGCUACAAUGGCCUUUCUUUAAUAUUUUAUUUACACCAUUCAUGGAACCCUCUUUGCCUUCCACACAAAUCCCGGAUUUUGGUGAAACUGCUAAGAGGAAAAAUGAAGAGCUUUCCAAAGGCCAUGCUAAAACUACAAAGAAGUGAUCUCUACCUUUCCAGAAGUUAAAGGCUUUUGGGACGUUCCGCUCUUCUUGGGAAGACUCAUGUCAGUUCAAGAACACUACAAGCCUCAAUCCACUGAUAUAUUUGUCGCCAGCUUUCCAAAAACGAAGGAAAUCUUUGGUUAAUGUUCUCUGAAUCUCUCCUUUUCUCCUUCAAGAGUGAAAUUUAUGUGCCUUUCGUACCUUUUUACGUUAGAACAUUUCAUUUGUUCUUGUUUUCUAAAUUGAGUCUUUUCUAUGCGUUUUAUUAUUUUAUUUAUUGGGUAUUUGAGAGUGUAGUAAUAGUUAUAAUUUAAAGUGUUUUUAUUCAAAAAUAUAUUAAAAUAAUAUAUAUUUUUAAUUUUUUAAUAUUCAUCUUUUGACAACAUCACUCCAAAACAUUAGAAAACAUAAAAAAAAAAAAAACAAUUAGAAAACAAUUAGAAAACGCAAGAUUGCAUCAAUGCUAAAUGCAAUAUAUAUAUAUAGGUGCGCGCGCGCGCGUGUGUGAGAGAGAGAGAGAUCCACCUGUGUGUGAAAUGCAUAGUGAUGUUCCACAGCGAGCCAUUAUCUAUUAUGUAAAAUCUCUGAGAAAUGUCAUAGAUCAAUUGGUCGAUAUAGCAAAUUGAUAGGUUAAAGCUGCUCAUAAUCAAUACCUCUAAAAGAUUAUCUUUGGUGGAGAUGAAAACUUUUUGAUAUGUAAAUAAGUAUUUAAAAAAAAAUUAAAUAUUCUAUAAAGAGAUGUUCUGAAAAUACAAAUGCAGUAGAGAAUUGGAGAUUGUGAAUCUUUAUUAUGAAGGUCUCAUGAUAUAUUUAUAGCUCGAAUCUUGUCAUUUUGUGAAAAUAAGAGUUUGCAGUGUAAUUAACCUGAUAACAUUUAAUGAGGAAUAAAUAUCAUUUACAUGAUGGGAAUAUGGUGGGUCCUCGAAGGAGUUUUAUACACCUUAAAAGGUAUCAGAAAAUUAGAGUUUAAGAUAUCAAGUGUAGCUGAGCUUAUAGAGAUCAAGUUCUUUCUUGAGAUUAAAUCCAAGGGAGGUUUGUCAUUCCCCUGGACAUGCCAAGGAAGAAUGGUUAUUAUCUUGGACUUGGUUGGUUGCCAAAUCCAAGCAUCUUGGGCAUGACAUGCGUGCCAGAUCCACACUACCUUGAAGUUGGAGCACUACUAAGUCCAAGCGCCUCGGGUCUGACAUGCAUGCCAGACUUAUACUACGCUGGACUUGGUGCAUUACUAAGUCCAAAUGCCUUGGGUCUGAUAUGCCUGUUAGACCUAUAUUAUCUUGGGCUUGACGCAUUACUAUAUUCAAGCACCUUGAACUUAAUUAAUUGUCAAGUCCAUGCAUCUUAGAUUUAGAUCUAACAUAUACACUAGACUCAUAUUACAUUGAAUCUAGCGCAUUACAAAGUUAUAAUGCCUUGAAUUAAGUAUAUGUGCCACAUCCAUACAUUUUAAAAAACCAAACGAAAACUAAAUAAAAAGUUGACUCAUCGCUAAUCUAUAAAUACUAUCUACAUAAUGGCCUUAGUUGAUAUCUUCUACCGCUUACUACAUUUACUUGAAUAAUGAAAAUGUUUUUUUUUUUUAAUGGAAAAGAGAUUUUAACUCCAUCUUCAAUUACUAUAUAAAUGUUUCCUUGGGUUUUGAAAACGCAAUCAUGCUAAAAAUUUAUUAUCUAAUAUAAAAUAAAAUGUAUUUGUUUUUAUAUUUUAAAAAUGUUUUUUUUUUAAUUUUUUAAUUUUCAUCUUGUUUUGAUGUGUUAAUAUUAAUAAUAAAUUUUAAAAAUAAAAAAAAUAUUAUUUUAAUAUAUUUUUUAAAUUAAAAAUAUUUUAAAAAAUAACUAUUACAACAUUAACGAAUAAGAUUUAAUAUAAAAAACAUUCUAAUUGCAUCAGCUGAGAGGUGAUCAACAAUACCGCAUUCCCGAACUUCACAUCCCUAUAUUAAUGGAUUGUGUUGUGGGCUCCACGCCAUUUAAAGCUUGUAAGAGAAACCACACCUCUAAAUAGAAACCACACGAUCACGCUAAAAGAUUUGCUAUCGAAUAUAAUAUGAAAUAAAACCCAAUUGCAUCAGCGGACAUGUGAUCAAUAAUAUUAAAAUAAGGUAAUAGUUGAUGGGCCACAAAUUAAACCAGCUCUCAACUCGCUACAAAUAGCUGCCAUGGCCUUUCAUUCUACGUUAUAUUUUCAUUUUUUACAUUCAUGGAAUCCUCUUUGCCUUCCACCCAAAUCUCGGAUUCUGGUGACAGUGCAGAGAGGAAAAAUGAAGCUAAAAAUUACAAUGAAGUGAUGUCCACCUUUCCGAAAGUUAAAGGCUUGAAUGGGUAUGAUUAUUACCUGUACCAAGGCUUUUGGUACGCUCCCUUCUUCUUGGAAGGACUCUUGUCUGUUCAAGAGCGCUUCAAUCCUCAAUCCACUGAUAUAUUUGUCGCCAGUUGUCCAAAAACUGGCACAACUUGGCUUAAGGCCCUCACUUUUGCUAUUUUCACACGAUCCCGUUUAAGUGGUUCAACAACUAGUUCUUUACUUACCAAGAUGCCACAUGACUGUGUUCCUUUUUUGGAAUAUCACCUUGCUCAAAACCCCAGUAAUCGGGACUUGGCAAUUCCUCUGGUAUCUACUCAUGUUCCUUGCACUUGUUUACCUAAAUCUAUCAUUUCUUCUUGUUGCAAGAUUAUUUACAUUUCCAGGGACGCAAAGGAUGCUUUUGUUUCUUUGUGGUACUUUCUUGCCAGGCUGCAAAUGUCGAAAAAUGUUGAACCUCUUCCUCUGGAAGAGGCAUUUGAGUUGUUUUGCAAUGGAAUUGCAAAUUUUGGACCAUAUUGGGACCAUGUUUUAGGGUAUUGGAGAGCAAGCUUCGAGUUCCCUGAUAUUGUUCUUGACAUACGAGGAAAUGAAGAAAGACACCGCUGCUCAUGUUAAGAAACUAGCUGAGUUCAUGGGUUGUUCUUUCUGUUGCAUUAAACUCAAUCUAGAAGGUUAAGGAAGGCAACCACCACUUGCAGCCACUAGCUGUCACCGCCUAGCCGCCAGCCGUCUUCAUACUUGAAAGUUGAAUUAUCUUGUUUUUGAAUUCUGUGUAUAAAUAGAUAGCUAAGUGGAUGUUAUUCUGUGUGGAAAGAGAAGAAAGAAACACUAGAGAGAAAGAGAGAGGGAGUGUGUAGCUUUUGUUUAAUUAUUGUAAGCUUUUAUUGUUGAAAUAAAACAGUGUGUUUUAUCUCUUCUGAGUGUUUCAAAGCCACCACCAGUGGUUUCUCCCACCAACAAUUGGUAUCAGAGCCUCGUUCGUCACAAAACACAAGUAUUUUGGGAGAUACACGAAUUUUCAAAGUUGUCAAAAACAAUUUUUGAUCAUUCCACAAUGUAGAGCUCAUCCAUACGAACUCACUGGUGCAAAAAUCAGCUUCAUCGGAGCCCGAGGUGAUCCCCACGCGCCUCCUGAAAUUCCGGUAACUGUAGCCCAGUCUCACCCACGCGCUCCAGAGGUUGAAGACGCCAGAGGUUGAAGACGAGUGUCGUCCACGCGCGCCAUAUUCGAGCCGAUCCCCAGCCGAGCCGAUCUUUAGCCUCAGCCGAGCCGAUAGAAUAUUCCCCAGAAUAUUCCCGGUUCAACCCCAGCGAACCGCCUAACGUCCAGAAUCGGUUUUCAGACCGGUUCAGCCUAUUUCUGACCCAUUUUCAUCCAAGUCAGGCCGGUUCCCUACUGUUUUGAGCAUUCUGGAUCCAUCUACGGUGUCUGUUUUGCCAAAUUCAACUCCCAGAAGGUGAUAUAGUCAUUCAAAAAGCAAAAUGACUACAGAAAAUGCACAAACACUCAUCCCGAAGCUGACCAAAGACAACUAUGAUAGUUGGUGUAUCAGAUUGAAGGCAUUUCUUGGUUUACAAGAGUGUAUAGAGAUUGUGCAAUAUGGUUAUGAUGAACCAGAGUCUAAAGAAGUAGAAGAUACUUUAAAUGAGGCAGAAAAGCAAGUCCUCAAAGCAAAUAGAAAGAAAGACAACAAAGCAAAGACCAUAAUCUAUCAAGGUCUUGACGAAGCUAUAUUCGAAAUUAUUGCUUCCGCAGAAACAUCAAAAGAGAUAUGGGAGGCUCUCCAACAAAAAUACAAAGGUGCUGACAGAAUCAAGAAGAUUCGUCUCCAAUCUUUGCGAGGUGAGUUUGAAUUAUUGCAAAUGAAGGCCUUAGAAUCUAUUUUUGACUAUCACACAAGAAUUAUGGUGAUAGUCAAUCAGAUGAGAAGAAAUGGAGAAGCCCUCACAGAUGCUCGGAUUACAGAGAAAAUUUUGAGAUCCCUAUAUCCAAAAUUUUAUUUUGUUGUUGUCGUUAUUGAAGAGUCCAAAGAAGUGGACAAGUUGAUGGUGGAUGAGCUUAUGAGUUCUUUGCAAGCUCAUGAGCAAAAGAUCGUGAAAAGAAAUGGAGAUAAGGCAAUUGAGCAUGCCUUACAAGCAAAGUUGUCUCUCAAAGACAGAUAUGAGCAAGGGGAGACUUCAAUAAGUGGAUAUACCACUCAAGGAAGAAGUCCACAAAGACGAGGAGGAUUUCAGCAAUUCCAAGGAAGAGGAUCUUGGAAUACAGGUUUUAGAGGAAGAGGUGGCAGAUAUACCACUAGAGGAGGCCGAGGACAACAAUCAUUCACUCCUAAAGGAAGAGGAGGCGGUUACAAUAACCGUGACAAGAGGAAUAUCCAGUGUUAUAAGUGCAAUCAAUUUGGGCACUAUAGCAUUGAAUGUCAAAGGAAAGCUCCAUUAGAGGUACGUGAGCAUGCAAACUAUGCAGAGGAGGAUGCCAACAGCAGAGGAGCAGCUGCAUUAUUUGUCCAACAAGGACUUGACAAGAAUCAAGAGAAUAUUUGGUAUCUUGAUUCUGGAGCCAGCAAUCACAUGUGUGGCCAACGAGAUCUAUUUGGCGAUCUAGAUGAGACCAUACAAGGUCUAGUCACCUUUGGAGAUACAUCAAAAGUUCCAUUCAAAGGUAAAGGCAACAUCCCAAUCAAGUUGAAGAAUGGCGAUCAUAGCUACAUCGCCAAUGUCUACUAUGUCCCAGCCAUAAAGCAAAACUUGGUGAGCAUAGGUCAACUUCUAAAGAAAGGUUAUACACUUUUCAUGAAGAAUUGUCAUCUGACAGUUACAGACUACAAUGGGAGAUUAAUUGCCUAUGUGAAAAUGUCCAAGAAUAGGAUGUUUCCUUUAAACAUCCAAUAUGAUGCAGCAAAGUAUUUGAGUGCCAUCACCAACAGUGAAGAGUGGCUUUGGCACCUGAGGCUUGGACAUCUGAAUUUCACAAGUCUGAAGAUGCUAGCAAGCAAGAAGAUGGUCAAAGGUAUGCCCCACAUUGAUCAUCCAGAUGAAGUCUGUGAGAGUUGUGUCCUCAGCAAACAUCACAGAUCCAAUUUUGCCAAAGAAGUCAACUGGAAAGCAAACAAGCCACUGGAGUUAGUGCACACAGAUGUGUGUGGUCCCAUAAAGCCUAUGUCGACUGGACCAAAUAGGUACUUCCUUACUUUCAUUGAUGAUUUUAGCAGAAAGACGUGGAUAUACUUUCUGAAGAGGAAGUUAGAAGUGUUCAAUUGUUUUAAAGAUUUUAAAGCAAUUGUUGAGAAGCAAAGUGGCUAUAAGAUCAGAACCGUGAGAUCUGAUCAAGGUGGAGAAUAUACAGCAAAUGACUUUGAAGCCUUUUGUACACAACAAGGCAUCAAACAUCAGACAACACCAGCUUAUACACCACAGCUGAAUGGUGUAGCUGAAAGAAAGAAUCGAACGAUUCUUGACAUGGCGAGAAGUCUACUCAAAGCAAAGAAGCUGCCCAAACAAUACUAGGCUGAAGCUGUAUCAUGUGCAGUGUAUCUACUGAAUCGCUGCCCAACCAAAAGUUUGCAAGCUGUCACUCCACAAGAAGCAUGGAGUGGUCACAAACCAAGUGUUACUCAUCUUCGAGUCUUUGGUUGUGUGGCAUAUGCAAAGAUCCCAGAUGCAAGAAGGACCAAACUCGAUGAUAAAAGCGAGAAAUGCAUCUUUGUCGGAUAUGGUGAGAGAAAGAUGGGAUACAAGCUGUAUAAUCUCAUCACAAAGAAGGUAAUUAUGAGUAGAGAUGUUAUCUUUGAAGAAGAUAAAACAUGGCAAUGGAAGGAUGACCAAGAAGCAGUCAAAUGGAUCAGCACUGAUUUGAUCCUUGAAGAUGAAGUGGAAGUACCACCAGUACUUGCAGAAGGUCUGAUAUUACCGGCAGAUGAGCCACAAAGUUCGGUACACAGAUUCCCUGUAUUCAACAGGAGAAACACACCAGAAUCAUCAUCAGCAUCCUCAUCAGAAGGACCAAGAAGGAUGAGAAAUCUAGACGAGUUGUACGAUGUCAUGCAAGUCAUGGAAGAUACAACUCUAUUUUGUUUCUUUACAGAUACUGACCCACUUAGCUUCAAUGAAGUUAUCAAAGAAGAGAAGUGGAUAUAAGCAAUGGAUGAAGAAAUACAUGCUAUUGAGAAGAAUGACACCUGGAAGCUGACUAAUCUACUAGAAAACAAGAAAGCAAUAGGUGCCAAAUGGGUCUAUAAGACAAAGAAGAAUGCAAAAGGAGAAGUGCAAAGAUACAAAGCAAGAUUAGUAGCAAAAGGCUACAAAUAAAGAGAAGGCAUUGACUAUGGAGAAGUAUUUGCUCCAGUAGCCCGGCUAGAGACAAUCAGACUGAUGAUCUCACUAGCUGCACAACAUAGAUGGAAGAUCUAUUAACUCGAUGUGAAGUCAGCAUUUCUGAAUGGCUUCCUAGAAGAAGAGAUCUAUGUUGAACAACCACUUGGAUACAUCGAAGCUGAAAAUGACGGCAAAGUAUACAAGUUGAAGAAAGCUCUCUACGGUUUGAAGCAAGUUCCGCGUGCUUGGAAUACCAGAAUUGACAGGUAUUUUCAAGAAAAUGAAUUUGAAAAAUGUCCAUAUGAACACGCAAUAUAUGUGAAGAAAGAAGCAGAUAACAACAUAUUAUUUGUGUGCCUAUAUGUUGAUGAUUUGCUAUUCACCGGCAACAACCCAACCAUGUUUGAAGCCUUCAAGAAAAGCAUGGUACAAGAGUUUGAGAUGACAGACAUUGGUCUGAUGGCACACUUUCUUGGCUUAGAAGUGGUGCAGAAAGAAGAAGGGAUUUUUGUAUCCCAAAGCAGUUAUGCCAAAGACAUUCUUGAAAGGUUCAAGAUGGAAAGCUGCAAUCCGGUAUCAACUCCAGUUGAGAAUGGAGUAGAAUUGAGGAAGAGUAAAGUUGGAAAUGUUGAUCCAACUUACUUCAAAAGCUUAGUAGGAAGCUUAAGGUACUUGACAUGUACCAGACCGGAUAUACUCUACGGAGUUGGUCUUAUCAGCAGAUACAUGGAGACACCAGACCAGUCUCACUUGAAUGCAGCCAAGAGAAUUCUUCGCUACAUCAAAGGAACAAUCAAUGAAGGUAUGUUUUAUACCUCAAGUACAAACUUCAAUCUUGUUGGCUACUCGGAUAGUGAUUGGGGUAGAGAUCUGGAUGAAAGGAAAAGCACAACAGGGUUUGUCUUUUUCAUGGGAAAUACAUUUUUCACAUGGUCAUCCAAGAAGCAAUCGAUAGUAACGUUAUCAAGCUGUGAAGCUGAGUAUGUUGCUGCCAACUCAGCUGUAUGCCAUUUAAUAUGGUUAAGAAAUAUGCUGAAGCAUUUGGGAUUUCCUCAAGAAGAUCCCACAGAGAUUUAUAUUGAUAAUCGAUCAGCGAUUGCAUUAGCAAAGAACCCGGUGUAUCAUGAACGAAGUAAACACAUUGAUACACGUCAACACUUUAUCCGAGAGCAUAUAAAGAACAAAGAAGUCGAGCUGAUAUCCUGCAAGACAAAUGAUCAAGUUGCAGAUAUCUUUACAAAGCCAUUGAAGGGAGAAACAUUUAUCAGACUGAAGUUCAUACUUGGCGUGACAUCCCUCGAUUAAGUUUAAAGGGGGGAUUUGUUGCAUUAAACUCAAUCUAGAAGGUCAAGGAAGGCAACCACCACUUGCAACCACCAGCUGUCACCGCCCAGCCACAAACCGCCCAGCCGCCAGCCACUAGCUGUAUGCCGCCAGCCUCCAGCCGCCUUCACACUUGAAGGUUGAAUUAUCUUGUUUUUGAAUUCGUGUAUAAAUAGGUAGCUAAGUGGAUGUUAUUCUGUGUGGAAAGAGAAGAAAGAAACACUAGAGAGAAAAGAGAGGGAGUGUGUAGCUUUUGUUUAAUUAUUGUAAGCUUUUAUUGUUGAAAUAAAACAGUGUGUUUUAUCCCCUCUGAGUGUUUCAAAGCCACCACCAGUGGUUUCUCCCACCAACACUUUCACCUUAGAGGAAGAGGAGGAAGGGGAGGUGCAAAAGAUAAUAAGCAUGUGUAGUUUUGAGAAGUUGAGCAACUUGGAGGUGAAUAAAAAUGGGAAGCACCGUCCGGACACAUCAAUUGCUAUUCAAAACAGUGUAUACUUCAGGAGAGGUGAGAUAGGCGACUGGGCAAAUCACUUGACACCUGAAAUGGGAGCACGUCUAGAUGACAUAAUGGAGCAGAAACUCAAGGGUUCAGGCUUGAAGCUGCCGAGGUGAAUGUGCCUAGGGUCCCAUUUGCUUGUGAUUAUUGCCGAAGCGGGUUCAUCAAAAGCUGUUAUCAACAUCUCGUGAAACAGCAACUGUGUAUCCCAAUAAAUACCCUCUCUGUUCAUCUCUUGUAUUUCCCAGCAAGUAUUCACAUUUUGUGAAUCAUCCAUGUCAAUAAGCAAUGUUCUUUGUGAAUCUGUGUUUUUGACUUUCAUUCAUUUCCUUGCAUGCUUGUAAGAAUUAAAAAUUGGAUUCGUUUUUUUUAUUUAUUUAUUUAACACAAGUUCAUGCAUUCCAUUAAUCAGUUCGAUAAAAAAUAAAUUUAGUCUAAUAUAUAAUAUUAGAGUGUUUUCUUCACAGAAAUUGCAGUGUGUUUUCUUCAGUUAUACAUGUUUUAAAAGAACCGAGACAACCAUCCAUUAAGAUUGUUGAAUUGCAGAUCAAAUGAACGUAGGCGGCACAUCUGCUGAAAGGAUCUCGAAAUGCCUUGUAAUUGGUUAAAAUAAAGAUCAAGAUCUGUAGGAGAACUCGUGUUUUCCACUCCUAAAAUAAGCCCAGUUGCCGGCUUCAUGUGCAACAGAGGCACAUAGAGAAUCUGAAAGCAGUUUUUAUGCACUGUCAGCAGAAUAAUUUGAUCAGUCAGAAUGAUUCCCCCCCUCUAGGGCUCAGAUCACAAUUCUUCCUUGAAACAAAUCUUUUGGAACCGAUAUGUGGAGGGAUGGCUUGAUUUAUACCGGAGAUUUUGUUGGAAAAUUAAAGAAGCAUGGCUUAAUUUGUACCUUGGAUGCGCAAAUUGAUUAGAGGGAAAAAAUGACAGAAAGUGAGUUACAGGGAAUGAAAAAGGCAUUAGUAAACUCAACACCUUUCAGGGCAUCGUUCCUUGGUUUACUCCGUUUUAUUUCUUAUUUUGUUUUUCCUGCCAUUGUCUAAUGUUUUUCGAACUCACAGUCUGGUCUCUGCAGAGAAUGAGAAAGCACAAAUUCUUUAAGAGAAGAUAUUCUCCGGCAAUGGCAUCAAACGGAAAAGUCCGACGUCAACUAAGUGUGUGUUUGGUGUUGCGGCCGUGUUUACAAAAAAACAUCGUUGUCAUGUGUUUGGUUACGGUCUAAACACAAUUUUCUAUUUGUGGGACCCAUUACUAUUUGCAUUUAAACUGCAAGAUAACCGGAAGCAACUUCAAGUUGCUUUUUAUGAUUAGUUGCAAACUAUGUUAUAAACAGAGGCCACAAGAAAAAGAGCAGAAAUAGAGCAGUGAAUAGUGAACAGUAGAGAGCAGCUGCCUCUCACCACCAACCUCCACCGUUUUCACUGCCAGCCACUGCUCUUCCUCUUCCCCUUCUCCCUUUCACGUGAACUGUGGAGAGUGGAGAGCAGCUCACCACCGACCUCCGCUGUUUCCAUCGCCAGCCACUGCUCUUCCUUUUCCCCUUCUCCUUUUCACGUGAAUAGUGGAGAGUGGAGAGCAGCUCACCACCGACCUCUGCUGUUUCCAUCGCCAGCCACUGCUCUUCCUCUUCCCCUUCUCCUUCAUCUUUUACGUUCUCCACUGUUAAUGUGAACAGUGGAAAGCAGCUCAUUACCGGCCUCUGCCAUUUUCACCGCCAGCCACUGCUCUUCCCCUUCCCCUUCCCCUUCGUCUUCUGCAUUCUCCACUGUUCACGUUGCAUGUGAACAGUGGAGAGUAGCUCACCACCGGCCUCCAUUGUUUCCACCGCCAGCCAUUGCUCUUCCUCUUCCCCUUCUCCUUCUCCUUCAUCUUCUGUAUUCUCCACUGUUCACGUGAACAGUGGAGAGCGUCUCCACUGUUCAUGACCGGACCGAGUCAAACCCAAACCUAAAUGCAUUGGACCGGGUCCGACCCAAUAAAAUUAAAAAAAAUCCAAAAAAAUUUCUUAGAUAUUGUGUUUUAUUUGAAAAACUAGUGUUUAAAAUUAUUCAAUGGCACUACAUAAUUAUAUUAGGAGAUCGCAUGAUAACGUAACAUUUGCAUAAUUUGAUUGCAAUCCCAAUUUUGUUCCUAAUGAUAUUUUACCCAAUGUGAUGAUAUUUUACCUGAUGUUGGUGCACAUUCAGGAAGCCAUGAAAACUAUAGUUCUUGUCGGAUGGAUUUCGUACGUGAUUGAAUUGCAAAUAGUUUAAUAAAACAAUAAAAAAUACUUUAUAUAAAGUAUUGUUUAUUUCAUGAUUUAAUAGCAGUAGUUAAAUCUAUAAUAUUUCAAUUAAAAACCAUCAAUAUUAAUAUAUGUUUUUUUUAAUUAUUUUAUAACCUUAAUUUGAAAAAUAUUCUUUAAACCAAACACAUUAAACUACUUUUUGUUCAACCUCAAUUUCAACCACAAUUUUAACCAAAUAUAUAUUUUUUCAAACCAACCUCAACUAAAAGUAAUUUUUAUAAAAACAACUUUUUCAAACUAUAACCACAACAGCUACCACAAUUCCAAAUACACACAAAGAAAACUGUACUGAUAAGCAAGUUAAAGUGCCACCAUUGAUUUAGGAUCUGCUUUAGAUCUUAUAAGGUGAAAGUAAAACACAAGGAAAUGCAUGCAUGCACACCACUAAUCUUUGAUUCUGGCGAGAACAGUGAUGACAACCAUAUAGAAUUACAUUCCAAGAUGAAGAAAUUAAUAACAGAGCAGUGCUAUAAAGCUAAAUGUGAGAACCAGAGAUUAAUAAGCAAUGCUGAAAAUUUUAUCAUGCAUAAGAUGAGAGAAGCAUAGGACAGAUUUUUCCCUCAAAUGAUUAACUAGAAUACGAGUUGCACUUCAAUUUUAAAGCUGAAAGAUGAAACAAUCAUACAAGCUCACACCUCUAUAACAGAGUGACAGUUCAUGGUGACCUCAAAGACUGCAUCAAGUCCUCCAAGCUCUCGUAACUUUUCCUUAAAGUCCCCCCCCAGUCUUCCUUGCCAUGCCAGAUGUAUCUGAAUGAAUGCAACCCAUACAGUGAAAUAAAUAAGCAAUCAGAAAAGGAGAGAGAGAGCUGUGUGAAUAAAGAAUUGUCACAAAACUAGAUGAUGGCGACCACAUAUCAAUAAUUCGAGACAUGACGUGGGGCACUUUCAUCGUGAUUAUUGUCUGUACAAUAAUGUUUGAUGCAUUAUUUCUUGUUAAGACUUUUUAGGUUGUGAAAAGUCCAAGAUGUAGCUUUUGAUUUUAUCAUUUAUAUUAAAUUGAAAUUUUGACAUAAAAUUCUAAAGAUUUUGUGGUUAAAAUUUCAAGAUCUUCGAAGAAAGACCUUUAAAUAAGGAUUUAAAGUUAUUAUGAGAUGGUCUUUAUUUACCUAUUUAGAUUUUUUUAUUUAUAUUAAAAAUUUUAAUUCAAUUAGUAUUUUACUAUUUAAAAAUUCUAAUAAUAGAUUGAUUAUAUUAAUAAUACAAAUUAUUUUUCUAUACAAAAUUUUAUUUCUAGAAUUAAUAUAAAUAAAAAUAUUUAGUUUAUUUUUUUGUUCAGGAUUCAUAUUAUUAUUUAGAUUUUUUAUAAAUAUUUAGAGAUUUUUUUUAUUUUGCUACUGUGUUAGGACUAUAACUUUAAGGUUUGGGUGUUUGGGAAAGUUAUAGCGGUUACGUUUUAAAGUGAUUUUUAUUUAAAAAUACAUCAAAAUAAUAUAUAUUUUUUAUUUUUAAAAUUAAUUUUUGACAUCAAAACAAUGCAAAAACACCAAAAAAUUAAUUUGAAAAAAAAUUAAAAUUUUUGAAAACCUUGAUUAAAAUGUUGUACCAAACACCCUCUUAGUUUUAUCUUAUUUUUAAAAAAAUAAUUCUUAACAUUAGCAAUCAAAACAAUCUAAAAACAAAAAAAUAAUUUUAAAAAAAUCAAAAUCUUUAAAAACUCCCGUCUAAAUGUUUCCUUUUAGUUUUAUCAUUGUUGCACUGCGUAAUGAUGCUCAAAAGGAAAUAGUUGAUAUAGCCGUACUUGGGGUAUUUAAGAAUGUGAUAGCGGUUACUUUUUAAAAUGUUUUUCGUUUAGAAAUGUAUCAAAAUAAUAUUUUUUUAUUUUUAAAAAAUUAUUUUUGAUAUCACCAUAUCAAAAUGAUAUGAAAACACUAAAAAAAUAUUAAUUUAAAGUAAAAAAAAUAAAAAAAAUUAAUCUUUUAUUAAAAUAUUUUUGAAAUACAGAAAUACUACGAGCUCUCAACCUGCUACAAAUAACUGCUGCAAUGGCCUUUCUUUAAUAUUUUACUUACACCAUUCUGCAAAAUAUUUUCUUUUGUACAUCCAUGGAACCCUCUUUGCCUUCUACACAAAUUCAAAGUCCAUGCUAAAAACUACAAAGAAAUGAUCUCUACCUUUCCAAAAGUUAAAGGCUUUUGGUACUUUCCGUCCUUCUUGGGAACACUCAUCUCAGUUCAAGCAAUCCACUGAUAUAUUUGUCGUCAGCUUCCAAAAACGAAGGAAAUCUUUGGUUAAGUUAAAACUCCUUUUCUCCUUCAACAGUGAAAUUCACGUGCCUUUCACACCUUUUUAAGUUCGAACAUUUCAUUUGUUCUUGUGCUCUAAAUUGAGUCUUUUUUGUGAGUUCUAUUAUUCUACUGUGUUUGGUUUAGCUUUUGUAGUUGAGGUUGUGGUAGGGUACAUGUACAAAACUCAACCACAAAAGCUAAUUUUUCUUGUUUUUUAUGGCUUUUUUAGUGGGUUCCACACUCAACCUCAACCUCCAUCUCAAAUACAAACACACACUAAAAGAUUAGAAAACGCAAGAUUGCAUCAAUGCUAAAAGCAAUUUCAAUCUCAAUGUGUGUGUCAAAUGCAUGGUGAUGUUUCAUGAUAUGUUUGUUUUGACGUUUCAAAAAUAUUUUUUUUAAACUGAAUUUUUUUAAUUUAUUUUUCGCUUCAAAUUAAUAUUUUUUGUUUUUUCAGAUUAUUUUGAUGUACUGUUGUUAAAAAUAAUUUUUUUUAAAUAAAAAAUAUUAUUUUAAUACAUUUCCGAGCAAAAAUCACUUUAAAAAAUAAUUGUUAUUACACUUCCAAACACAUCUUUAAAAGGACAAAGUUAUGGAGUUGAGGGCUCUAAAUAUUCCUCAAAAUAUCUGGCCUCAAAGCUAUUAUCGAGUCUUAAAGCUUUUGCUUUUUAUAUUGUUUUGAUGUAAAAAAUAAAUUUUAAAAAUAAAAAAAUAUUAUUUUAAUAUAUUUUUAAAUAAAAAAAUAUUUUAAAAAACAAUUACAGUAAAAUAACAAAUAAAAUAUUAAUAUGAAAUAAAAUCUAAUUCUACCAGCAGACAGCUGAUAAGAAUACUAAAAGAGUGUAAAUUUUGACUUAAUUCAAUAUUUCAAUUAUUAGAAUUUGGGGCAGCGUAACAGUGUCAAAGAAAAUGUCAGAAAAGUAAGGAAAACAGUACAAAUACCUUGGAUGAUGGUGACCAAAUAUUUGUAAUUUGAGACAUCUCGUUCUUGAAAAGAAUAGUUAAUAGUGCCAAUAAUAUUUUUUUUUAUUCACGUGACGGGUGAGCUUGUGUGUAUCUCGAUUAAUUCCCACGAAUCCUGAAAUUAAUGAUCAGGUAAGUUUCCAGUGGUCAUCAAUAUUAACAACCAUAUGGCUCGAACCUGAGACCACAAGGAGGAGCAAACCUCUUGAUCUCAAACUCUUACUAUUAGACUGCCUAUUAGAUGGUUAGUGCUAAUAAUUAAUCUGCUCUUGACUUGCUACAAAUAGCUGUCAUGAUCACAUAUUCAAAAAACACUAGUUUAUAAAUUCUAAGGGUAUCUCAACUAGUUAGACUUUAAGUAUGUUUUCCAAUAAUUAUGAGUUCGAGUCCUUUUAAGAUAAUUGAAGGUUUACACGGCGUUAACUUCAGGACCCAUAAAAUUAAUCGAGAUAUAUACAAGUUGAUUCAGAUAACCAUAUUAAUUUAAAAAAACAAACACUAGUCUAGAAAAGCAAUAUACAAGGUGAUUUUUUAGUUGACUAGUUGAAUCUGAUUUUUAUAAAAAGUAAUAUUUUAGAAGAUAAUUUUUAAUAAUUUUAGAUUUUUUAAUAUAUAAAUAUCAAAAAUAAAUUUUAAAAAAUAAAAAAAUAUUAUUUUAAUAUAAUUUUAAAUAAAAAAACAUUUGAAAAAACAAUUAAUAGUAUACUCUCAACUACCCCAAAAUAUAGGAUUAAAUUGGAUUGCGGGUUCCCCACCAUUUAAAGCUUGCAAAGAAGGAUUUGAAACACAAUCACCCUAAAGAUUUGCAAAUGGAAUAUAAUAUAAAAUAAUACCCAAUUGCAUCAGCGGACAUGUAAUCAAUAAUAUUAAAAUACGGUAAAUUUUGAUUUAAUUCAAUUAUUGGAUUCUAGGCAGCGUGACAAUGUCAGAAAAUCUUGGAUGAUGGUGACCAAACAUAUCAGUAAUUUGAGACAACACGUUCCCGAAAGGUAAUAGUUGAUGGUGCCAAAAUUUAAACCAGCUCUCAACUCGCUACAAAUAGCUGCCAUGGCCUUUCAUUCUACCAUAUAUUUAUUUUUUAACUUUCAUGGAAUCCUCUUUGCCUUCCUCCCAAAUCUUGGAUUCUGAUGGAAGUGCUGAGAGGAAAAAUGAAGCUACAAAUUGCAAUGAAGUGAUGUCCACCCUUCCAAAAGUCAAAGGCUUGAGGGGGGAUGAUUAUUACCUGUACCAAGGCUUUUGGUACGAUGCCUUCUUCUUGGAAGGACUCAUGUCUGUUCAAGAGCACUUCAAUCCUCAAUCCACUGAUAUAUUUGUCGCCAGUUUUCCAAAAACUGGCACAACUUGGCUUAAGGCCCUCACUUUUGCUAUUUUUACACGAUCCCGUUUAAGUGGUUCAACAACUAGUUCUUUACUUACCAAGAUGCCACAUGACUGUGUUCCUUUGUUGGAAAAUGACCUUGCUAAAAACCCCAGUAAUCGGGACUUGGCAAUUCCUCUGCUAUCUACUCAUGUUCCUUACAGUUGUUUACCUAAAUCUAUCAUUUCUUCUAGUUGCAAGAUUAUUUACAUUUGCAGGGACGCAAAGGAUGCUUUUGUUUCUUUGUGGUACUUUCAUGCCACGCUGCAAAGGUCGAAAAAUGUUGAGCAUCUUCCUCUGGAAGAGGCUUUUGAGCUGUUCUGCAAUGGAAUUGCAAAUUUUGGACCAUACUGGAACCAUGUUUUAGGGUAUUGGAGAGCAAGCUUGGAGUUCCCUGAGAAGAUAUUGUUCUUGACAUAGGAGGAAAUGAAGAAAGACACAGCUGCUCAUGUUAAGAAAGUAGCUGAGUUCAUGGGUUGUUCUUUCACCUUAGAGGAAGAGGAGGGAGGGGAGGUGCAAAAGAUAAAAAGCAUGUGUAGUUUUGAGAAGUUGAGCAACUUGGAGGUGAAUAAAAAUGGGAAGCACCGUCCGGACACAUCAAUUGCUAUUCAAAACAGUGUAUACUUCAGGAGAGGUGAGAUAGGCGACUGGGCAAAUCACUUGACACCUGAAAUGGGAGCACGUCUAGAUGACAUAAUGGAGCAGAAACUCAAGGGUUCAGGCUUGACGCUGCCCAGGUGACUGUGCCUGGGCCCCGUUUGCUUAUGAUUAUUGGCUCAGUGGG
rnacentral:lncRNA from 1 species